rnacentral:misc_RNA from 1 species
GAUGAAGAACGUAGCGAAAUGCGAUAAGUAAUGUGAAUUGCAGAAUUCAGUGAAUCAUCGAAUCUUUGAACGCACCUUGCGCUCCUUGGUAUUCCGAGGAGCAUGCCUGUUUGAGUGUCAUGAAAACCCUCAACCCUAGAUUGGUUAAUACCUUUCUUUGGUUUGGAUUUGGACGUUUGCCGAUGAUAAGUCGGCUCGUCUUAAAAGUAAUAGCUGGAUCUGUCUCGCGACAUGGUUUGACUUGGCGUAAUAAGUAUUUCGCUAAGGACAUCUUCGGAUGGCCGCGUUGCAGGACUAAAGACCGCUUUCUAAUCCAUUGAUCUUCGGAUUAAUACUCUUGACAUCUGGCCUCAAAUCAGGCAGGACUACCCGCUGAACUUAAGCAUAUCAAUAAGCGGAGGA